rnacentral:rRNA from 1 species
CCUACGGGAGGCAGCAGUGGGGAAUUUUGGACAAUGGGCGCAAGCCUGAUCCAGCCAUUCCGCGUGAGUGAAGAAGGCCUUCGGGUUGUAAAGCUCUUUCGCAAGGGAAGAAAACUUAUCCUCUAACAUAGGAUGAGGUUGACGGUACCUUGAUAAGAAGCACCGGCUAACUACGUGCCAGCAGCCGCGGUAAUACGUAGGGUGCGUGCGUUAAUCGGAAUUUGCGCGCGCUAAUUUGUAGGUGAGAGGUGAAAUCCCCGAGCUCAACUUGGGAACUGCGUUUGAAACUACAAGACUAGAAUAGGUCAGAGGGGGGUAGAGUUCCACGUGUAGCAGUGAAAUGCGUAGAGAUGUGGAGGAAUAUCAAUGGCGAAGGCAGCCCCCUGGGAUCAUAUUGACGCUCAUGCACGAAAGCGUGGGGAGCAAACAGGAUUAGAUACCCCAGUAGUC